rnacentral:tRNA from 1 species
AGAAAUUUAGGUUAAUUAAACCAAGAGCCUUCAAAGCCCUAAACAUGAGUAAUAUCUCCUAAUUUCUG